GAUCCACCACCAAAAGCUGAUAAAUGCUGUAUAUCAUAAUGUGAAGUGGUCUUGAGAGGAGCAGUAAACAUCAGCUGAAGAUCCACAGAAGAGCUUCACUACUGUGUCUAUGAGGAGAAAUAAAUGUGUGAUAAAUGUGUAAAUGUGAUCCAUACAGGUGAAGAGACUCAGACUUUACAUGAAAAUAAUGCAGCAUGUGUGUUAGAAACAUGAUAUUGAAUGAUUUAUGUUGCUUUAGUAUUCAAGCAGAUGAUCAUUGUGUUUAAUGUAAAGCUGGAACAGAGGAGGAAGAAGCUCAGAUGAGUCUGUCUGGCUCUUCAGUUUAAUAUUAUUUGUAUUAAACUCAUUCAUAAUGAUUCAGAUGUUUAAAUGUGAUUGUCAAGUGCAGCACUUAAAUGUAUCAAAAGAUAUAAAGCAGAUCUACAAUGUGUGAAAUUUCCAUGUUA